GACAGAGGUGCCAAGCGUUAGGCGGAAUCACUGGGCUUAAAGCGUGUGUAGGCGGAAUUGUAAGUACCUUGUGAAAGCCCACGGCUCAACCGUGGAGGGUCAUUGGAAACUGGGGAACUUGAGUGCAGAAGAGAAAAGCGGAAUUCCACGUGUAGCGGUGAAAUGCGUAGAGAUGUGGAGGAACACCAGUGGCGAAGGCGGCUUGUUGGGCUGUAACUGACGCUGAGGCGCGAAAGCGUGGGGAGCAAACAGG
rnacentral:rRNA from 1 species